GUAGUCUGCAACUCGACUACAUGAAGCCGGAAUCGCUAGUAAUCGCGGAUCAGAAUGCCGCGGUGAAUACGUUCCCGGGUCUUGUACACACCGCCCGUCACACCAUGGGAGCCGGAAAUGCCCGAAGUCAGUGACCCAACCAAUAAGGAGGGAGCUGCCGAAGGCAGGUCUGGUGACUGGGGUGAAGUCGUAACAAGGUAGC
rnacentral:rRNA from 1 species